GCCGAGGUAGCCUAGCCUGGCCAAGGCGGUUGCUUCGAGAGCAACUGUCCUUCACGGACUCAGGCGUUCAAAUCGCCUCCUCGGCG
rnacentral:tRNA from 1 species